rnacentral:rRNA from 1 species
CUUACGGGAGGCAGCAGCUAAGAAUAUUCCGCAAUGGGGGAAACCCUGACGGAGCAAUCUCUCAUGGAUGAUGAAUGUCUUCGGAUUGUAAAAUCCUUUCGGUAAGGAAGAAUGUGUAGAGUAGGAAAUGGCUCUGCAUUGACGGUACUUGCAGAAGAAGUCCCGGCUAACUACGUGCCAGCAGCCGCGGUAAU